rnacentral:rRNA from 1 species
GCUUACGGCCACAACCUCCCUGAGCACGCCCGAUCUCGUCUGAUCUCGAGCUAAGCAGGGUCGGGCCGGUUAGUACUUGGAUGGAGACCGCCUGGGAAUACCAGGUGCUGUAAGCC